rnacentral:rRNA from 1 species
GUGGAUUAGAUACCCGAGUAGUCCAUGCCGUAAACGUUGGGCACUAGAUGUGGGGGACAUUCCACGUUUUCCGCGUCGUAGCUAACGCAUUAAGUGCCCCGCCUGGGGAGUACGGCCGCAAGGCUAAAACUCAAAGGAAUUGACGGGGGCCCGCACAAGCGGCGGAGCAUGCUGAUUAAUUCGAUGCAACGCGAAGAACCUUACCAAGGCUUGACAUGCACCGGACGACUCCAGAGAUGGGGUUUUCUUCGGACUGGUGCACAGGUGGUGCACGGUCGUCGUCAGCU